CGGGGCGUAGCGCAGCCUGGUAGCGCAUCUGCUUUGGGAGCAGAGGGUCGCAGGUUCGAAUCCUGCCGCCCCGA
rfam:Caulobacterales bacterium RIFCSPHIGHO2_01_FTLL_70_19 rifcsphigho2_01_scaffold_11619, whole genome shotgun sequence.